rnacentral:rRNA from 1 species
AGAGUUUGAUCAUGGCUCAGGAUGAACGCUGGCGGCGUGCCUAAUACAUGCAAGUCGAACGCGCAGCGAGAGGUGCUUGCACCUUUCAAGCGAGUGGCGAACGGGUGAGUAACACGUGGAUAACCUGCCUCAAGGCUGGGGAUAACAUUUGGAAACAGAUGCUAAUACCGAAUAAAACUUAGUAUCGCAUGAUAUAAAGUUAAAAGGCGCUACGGCGUCACCUAGAGAUGGAUCCGCGGUGCAUUAGUUAGUUGGUGGGGUAAAGGCCUACCAAGACAAUGAUGCAUAGCCGAGUUGAGAGACUGAUCGGCCACAUUGGGACUGAGACACGGCCCAAACUCCUACGGGAGGCUGCAGUAGGGAAUCUUCCACAAUGGGCGAAAGCCUGAUGGAGCAACGCCGCGUGUGUGAUGAAGGCUUUCGGGUCGUAAAGCACUGUUGUAUGGGAAGAACAGCUAGAAUAGGGAAUGAUUUUAGUUUGACGGUACCAUACCAGAAAGGGACGGCUAAAUACGUGCCAGCAGCCGCGGUAAUACGUAUGUCCCGAGCGUUAUCCGGAUUUAUUGGGCGUAAAGCGAGCGCAGACGGUUGACUAAGUCUGAUGUGAAAGCCCGGAG